rnacentral:rRNA from 1 species
GUGAGGAAUUUUGCGCAAUGGCCGCAAGGCUGACGCAGCAACGCCGCGUGGGUGAUGAAGGCCUUCGGGUCGUAAAGCCCUGUCAGGUGGGAAGAAAGGCUUGGAGAAGCAACGCUUUGAGUUUGACGGUACCACCAGAGGAAGCACCGGCUAACUCCGUGCCAGCAGCCGCGGUAAUACGGAGGGUGCGAGCGUUAUUCGGAAUUACUGGGCGUAAAGCGCGUGUAGGCGGGGAUGCAAGUCUGAUGUGAAAGCCCUGGGCUUAACCUGGGAAGUGCAUUGGAAACUGCAUUUCUUGAGUACUGGAGAGGAAGGGGGAAUUCCCGGUGUAGAGGUGAAAUUCGUAGAGAUCGGGAGGAAUACCAGUGGCGUAGGCGCCCUUCUGGACGGUAACUGACGCUGAGACGCGAAAGCGUGGGGAGCAAACAGGAUUAGAUACCCGGGUAGUCC